rnacentral:misc_RNA from 1 species
GAUGAAGAACGUAGUGAAAUGCGAUAAGUAGUGUGAAUUGCAGAAUUCAGUGAAUCAUCGAAUCUUUGAACGCACAUUGCGCCCCAUGGUAUUCCGUGGGGCAUGCCUGUUCGAGCGUCAUUUACCCCCUCAAGCUCCGCUUGGUGUUGGGCGUCUGUCCCGCUUCGCGCGCGGACUCGCCCCAAAGGUAUUGGCAGCGGUCGUGCCAGCUUCUCGCGCAGCACAUUGCGCUUCUCGAGGCACCGGUGGGCCCGCGUCCAUCAAGCUCACCCCCCCAGUUUGACCUCGGAUCAGGUAAGGAUACCCGCUGAACUUAAGCAUAUCAAUAAGCGGAGGA